AUUGAACGCUGGCGGCAUGCCUUACACAUGCAAGUCGAACGGCAGCACGGGUGCUUGCACCUGGUGGCGAGUGGCGAACGGGUGAGUAAUACAUCGGAACAUGUCCUGUAGUGGGGGAUAGCCCGGCGAAAGCCGGAUUAAUACCGCAUACGAUCUACGGAUGAAAGCGGGGGACCUUCGGGCCUCGCGCUAUAGGGUUGGCCGAUGGCUGAUUAGCUAGUUGGUGGGGUAAAGGCCUACCAAGGCGACGAUCAGUAGCUGGUCUGAGAGGACGACCAGCCCCACUGGGCCUGGGCCCCGGCCAGACUCCUACGGGAGGCAGCAGUGGGGAAUUUUGGACAAUGGGCGAAAGCCUGAUCCAGCAAUGCCGCGUGUGUGAAGAAGGCCUUCGGGUUGUAAAGCACUUUUGUCCGGAAAGAAAUCCUUGGCCCUAAUACGGUCGGGGGAUGACGGUACCGGAAGAAUAAGCACCGGCUAACUACGUG
rnacentral:rRNA from 1 species